AUGGACAGAGUGAAACCACUGCUGCUUAUUGGGUCAGACAUGCCUCAUCUCCUGACACCUGUUCAGCCCAUAUGCAAAGGCCCAGUAGGGGGACCCAUUGCUGUUCAUACACAACUUGGAUGGUCUCUCCAAGGCCCGAUGAGUCCCAUGCAGCCCUCAAGGGGAAAUCAGCAGUGCCUCCACAUAAUGACAUCUCCAAACCGUGAUGACCUGAUUCAACAUGUGGAAAGACUCUGGCAAGUUGAUACACUCCCAUACAAUACUAAGGUGAUUACACGGUCCAAACAGGACAAAGAGGCUUACACCUUGCUUCAAAAUGCCACUAUAAGAGUGACAGUGGACCAUGUACAACGAUAUGCUACCCCAUUGCUGAGAAAAACCCCCCUGAGCUUACUCCAUGCAGACCAAACUGCGGUUCUCCCCAUUUUACGCCGCACAGAGCGCAGACUGUCACGGGAUCCAGAAAAGGCUAAAGUUUACUGCAGUGAGAUCCGUAAGUUAGAGUCAGCGGGUUAUGUGGCAAAGAUAAGUGCAGAGGAAGCGGAUCAAAGUACAGAGUCUUGGUUCAUUCCGCACCACAUGGUGCACCACAAUGGUAAAGACAGAAUUGUUUUCAACUGCUCCUUCCAACAUCAAGGACAGUCUUUGAAUGAUCAGCUGCUGCCAGGGCCAACUUUGGGACCAUCCUUACUAGGUGUCCUCCUGAGAUUCCGCCAGCACACUGUUGCUAUCAGUGGGGACAUCAAAGGUAUGUUCCACCAAGUCCGCUUGCUGCCUGGGGACAAACCAAUACUGCGUUUCCUUUGGAGAGACAUGAACAGGGAAGCAGAACCUGAGAUAUACGAGUGGCAAGUGCUUCCAUUUGGCACUACAUGCAGCCCCUGUUGUGCCAUCCAUGCCCUCCAACAACAUGUCCAAGGGCACAAAGAUGAUAUGGCUGACUUAGUUGAUAUUGUGGAACAUUCAUUCUGUGUCGACAACUGCCUUCACAGUGUACCAACGACAAGUGAGGCUAAAGAGAAAGUGGAUGGGCUGCGCCAGAUCCUUUCUGAAGGGGGCUUUGAGAUUAGACAGUGGGCAUGCAAUGUGCCAUCUGUAACCCAACACCUACCUCCAGAGGCCAGGUCUGCAAACAGUGAGCGCUGGUUAACACAAAGCAGCAUGGAUCUUCAGGAACUCACUCUUGGUCUGCGGUGGGAUUGCAUAAGUGACACUCUGGGGUACAACUUGCGUUCUGUGGAGACUGCUGAGCCUACAAUGAGGAAUAUAUAUAAAACAUUGGCAAGUCAGUAUGACCCUUUGGGGUUCAUUAUCCCAUUCACUACCAGGGCCAAAGUCAUUAUUCAAGACCUCUGGAAGCACAAUCUUGGUUGGGACGACCCCAUAGAACUGUUGCAUUUGAGAGAAAGUUGGCUCACCUGGGUAGGAGAGCUCCCAAUUCUUCCCAAGUUGCAGUUCCCUCGAGCAUACACCCCAGUCUCUGCCGACAACCCAUCAGCCACCCGAGAGCUUCAUGUCUUUAGUGAUGCAUCGGAAAGGGCCUACGGUUCAGUGGCAUACCUACGCACCACAGAUGAUCAAGGACAGGUUACUCUUACCUUUGUCUUGGCCAGGUCUAGAGUAGCACCUCGCAAAUGCCUGUCAAUACCUCGUUUGGAGCUCUGUGCUGCCCUUACCGGCGCACAGUUGGGCAAGGUGAUCCAAACUGAGUUGACCAUACCUGUCCACAAAGUCACUUUCUGGUCUGACUCUACCACUGUGUUGUACUGGUUGACAUCUGAAUCAUGCCGCUACAAAGUGUUUGUAGGGACACGUGUGGCAGAGGUACAGACUUUAACAGAGAUGUCUGAAUGGAGGUACGUGGACUCAAAUCACAACCCAGCCGACCACAUCACACGAGGUCUUAGACUGACAGAAUUAACAGGCACUCAUCAGGUCCAGCCUUCCUGA
ensembl:lncRNA